GGGUUGUGAGGUUAAGCGACUAAGCGUACACGGUGGAUGCCCUGGCAGUCAGAGGCGAUGAAGGACGUGCUAAUCUGCGAUAAGCGCCGGUAAGGUGAUAUGAACCGUUAUAACCGGCGAUUUCCGAAUGGGGAAACCCAGUGUGAUUCGUCACACUAUCAUUAACUGAAUCCAUAGGUUAAUGAGGCGAACCGGGGGAACUGAAACAUCUAAGUACCCCGAGGAAAAGAAAUCAACCGAGAUUCCCCCAGUAGCGGCGAGCGAACGGGGAGGAGCCCAGAGCCUGAAUCAGCAUGUGUGUUAGUGGAAGCGUCUGGAAAGGCGCGCGAUACAGGGUGACAGCCCCGUACACAAAAGCGCAUGUGCUGUGAGCUCGAUGAGUAGGGCGGGACACGUGGUAUCCUGUCUGAAUAUGGGGGGACCAUCCUCCAAGGCUAAAUACUCCUGACUGACCGAUAGUGAACCAGUACCGUGAGGGAAAGGCGAAAAGAACCCCGGCGAGGGGAGUGAAAAAGAACCUGAAACCGUGUACGUACAAGCAGUGGGAGCACCCUUUGGGGUGUGACUGCGUACCUUUUGUAUAAUGGGUCAGCGACUUAUAUUCUGUAGCAAGGUUAACCGUAUAGGGGAGCCGGAGGGAAACCGAGUCUUAACCGGGCGUUAAGUUGCAGGGUAUAGACCCGAAACCCGGUGAUCUAGCCAUGGGCAGGUUGAAGGUUGGGUAACACUAACUGGAGGACCGAACCGACUAAUGUUGAAAAAUUAGCGGAUGACCUGUGGCUGGGGGUGAAAGGCCAAUCAAACCGGGAGAUAGCUGGUUCUCCCCGAAAGCUAUUUAGGUAGCGCCUCGUGAAUUCAUCUCCGGGGGUAGAGCACUGUUUCGGCUAGGGGGCCAUCCCGGCUUACCAACCCGAUGCAAACUGCGAAUACCGGAGAAUGUUAUCACGGGAGACACACGGCGGGUGCUAACGUCCGUCGUGAAGAGGGAAACAACCCAGACCGCCAGCUAAGGUCCCAAAGUCAUGGUUAAGUGGGAAACGAUGUGGGAAGGCCCAGACAGCCAGGAUGUUGGCUUAGAAGCAGCCAUCAUUUAAAGAAAGCGUAAUAGCUCACUGGUCGAGUCGGCCUGCGCGGAAGAUGUAACGGGGCUAAACCAUGCACCGAAGCUGCGGCAGCGAACGUAUCACUUAAAGCGAUUCAGCGGGUUACGAUUGACGGAGCGAAGCGACGUCAAAGCGUAUACAAAGUCGAGUCGGUUUAAGGAUACGUUCGUUGGGUAGGGGAGCGUUCUGUAAGCCUGUGAAGGUGGCCUGUGAGGG
rnacentral:rRNA from 1 species